rnacentral:rRNA from 1 species
AUCGCGUGAGAAUCUGCCUUUAGGACGGGAACAACAACUGGAAACGGUUGCUAAAGCCCGAUGUGCCCUUCGGGGUGAAAUACUUGUAGCCUGAAGAUGAGCUCGCGUCAGAUUAGCUAGUUGGUUAGGUAACGGCUGACCAAGGCGACGAUCUGUAACUGGUCUGAGAGGAUGACCAGUCACACUGGGACUGAGACACGGCCCAGACUCNUACGGGAGGCAGCAGUGGGGAUACCGCAAUGGGCGAAAGCCUGACGGACAAUACCGCGUGAGGGAGGAAGGCUCUUGGGUCGUAAACCUCAUGCAUCAUAGAAGAAACAAAUGACGGUACCUGAUGAAUCAGCAUCGGCUAACUCCGUGCCAGCAGCCGCGGUAAUACGGAGGAUGCAAGCGUUAUCCGGAAUUAUUGGGCGUAAAGCGUCCGCAGGUGGUACUGAAAGUUUGCUGUCAAAGCGCGGAGCUUAACUUCGUACCGGCAGUGAAAACUCCAAGACUAGAGUAUGGUAGGGGUCACGGGAAUUCCCAGUGUAGCGGUGAAAUGCGUAGAGAUUGGGAAGAACACCAGCGGCGAAAGCGCGUGACUGGGCCUGAACUGACACUCAUGGACGAAAGCUAGGGGAGCGAUAGGGAUUAGAUACGCCUGUAGUCCUAGCCGUAUACGAUGACAACUAGGUGUUGCCCGUAUCGACCCGGGCAGUGCCGUAGCCAACGCGUUAAGUUGUCCGCCUGCAGAGUACGCACGCAAGUGUGAAACUCUA